rnacentral:rRNA from 1 species
GCGCGAAACCUCCGCAAUGCGAGCAAUCGCGACGGGGGAAACCCAAGUGCCACUCUUAACGGGGUGGCUUUUCUGAAGUGUAAAAAGCUUCAGGAAUAAGAGCUGGGCAAGACCGGUGCCAGCCGCCGCGGUAACACCGGCAGCUCAAGUGGUGGCCAUUUUUAUUGGGCCUAAAACGUUCGUAGCCGGCUUGAUAAGUCUCUGGUGAAAUCCCACAGCUUAACUGUGGGAAUUGCUGGAGAUACUAUCAGGCUUGAGGCCGGGAGAGGCUGGAGGUACUCCCAGGGUAGGGGUGAAAUCCUAUAAUCCUGGGAGGACCACCUGUGGCGAAGGCGUCCAGCUGGAACGGACCUGACGGUGAGACGCGAAAGCGUGGGGAGCAAACA